GUCCCAGUUCAGAUCGCAGUCUGCAACCCGACUGCGUGAAGUCGGAAUCGCUAGUAAUCGCGGAUCAGCAUGCCGCGGUGAAUACGUUCCCGGGGCCUUGUACACACCGCCCGUCACACCAUGAGAGUCAGCAACACCCGAAGCCUGUGAGCUAACGCAAGAGGCAGCAGUCGAAGGUGGGGUUGGUGAUUGGGGUGAAGUCGUAACAAGGUAUC
rnacentral:rRNA from 1 species